rnacentral:lncRNA from 1 species
GACAAUUCUCCCUCUAGAAAAAGAGAUAAAAAUUGUACCUAAGACACGGAGCAAACUUUUUGUGUGCUCACACAAUUCAUUCUCUGUUUUCAUGUAGACUUUUGCAUGAUCUGAACCUUCAGCAUAGCAUGUCUUCCAAAAUACUACAAUUUGCUUAUACACUAAAAAACUUAGGGCAAUAAUGUGAAAUAGAGACAUUGGAUGGCUCUUUCCGUAAUAGAUUACAAUGAACUGGUAGGUCUACUUUAAGUGUAAAUUCCCAGCAGCCUGACAAAUAUGAUCUGAAGUGCAAGAAGUUAUAUUUCAUGCAACCUUUUGAAAAGAAAAUGCUGGUGCACCCUAGAUUUUAUUUUUAUUUUUUUUUUCAGUGAGAUACUCCUUAAGCAAUAUAGUCUUUUAAAAGCACAUAUUAUUCUCAGAUAAUUGUUCAUGUUAAGUAUCCUGAAGCAGUGCCAAAGGCACUUAGUGUAUAAACAAGGUCAAUUUCAGAUAAUAUUCCCUGUUAAUGAUCUGAGAGAGCCACAUAAUGGUUCUGCCUGUGAGCUGCCAACAUAGCAAAGACUCAUUUGCCCCCUUUGCUUGCAACCUCUGGAAGUUUUACAAACCAAGGAGAGUGCAGUGCUGGUCAGAUGGACGGACAUGGAAAAUGAUGCGUAGUGAUUCUUCUCUUUAUCCUUCGGUUUCUGCAACAGAGAAGAUGAUGUGGCCAAGCUCAUAAGGAGCAAAUAUUCUUCACCAGCCUGAGGUAGUGCCAUUGAUUUCCAUCUGAACUCUAUGACAUGAAUAGGGAAACCUGCUUAAAAUCAAUGCCACAUUUGAGCCUAGUGCUGUCCCCAAAGCCAGGGAUUCAAAUCACAGUGGGUGUGGCUGAGAGCCCCUUCAAUUUUCUCCUCAGCUGUAAGGCUGGGCACAGAGCUGGGCUGCAGUGCAUCACAUAGCAUUAAGCCACUUCACACAGGACACGAUGCGACCUGACAUAACAUGUUUGGAGGGUUGAAAGAAUGUUAUCUCUGUAUCCACAGGCAUUACGCACCAAGCUACUAAGCCUUAGCAAGCAGGCGGUGAUUCAGGGAAUCAGAGAAUAGGACUUUUCUUUUGGGUAGAUUAUAUUAAGGCAUGGUCAUGAAUCAUUUUUCACUUACGUUACAUAAGUCAUACUAAGAGUCUUAAAAAUUCAGACUUUAUGCCUUUAGAUAGAUUUUUACACCUAACAAGAAUUCACUACCAUGUAGAGAACUUGAACAAGCCCUGGGACUCCAGUGCCAGUACAGAUGUCUGGGUUUGGAAGAGCACUCCUUUUGGUAUUAGAUUAAUGAAAUCCAGGGUCACCAAAUUUGUGAGAUUUUUUUACUUAUAUUAGAAAGUGGUUUAUGCUUCUCACAUAGAGUUAAGCACAGGUGUAGUCCUAUUUAUAUGAUGAGUGAGGAGCAUGCAAGAGACUGAGUGGCAGCCUACUAAAAUUAAUAAAUGUAGAUUCUGUUUCCA